rnacentral:misc_RNA from 1 species
GAUGAAGAACGUAGCGAAAUGCGAUAAGUAAUGUGAAUUGCAGAAUUCAGUGAAUCAUCGAAUCUUUGAACGCAUCUUGCGCUCCUUGGUAUUCUGAGGAGCAUGCCUGUUUGAGUGUCAUUAAAUUCUCAACUACACUGACUUUGAAUUGGUGUGGCUUGGAUUUGGGGGGAAAAUUGUUGUGGGCUUUUUGUAUAGUCUGCUCCCCUGAAAUUGAUUAGCGGUACCUUUGUGGAACUGUCUACAGGUGUGAUAAUUAUCUACAUCUUAGACAUCUGCUGGAAUGCUGCUUUCUAUACCUUACUUGUAUUGACAAUCUUGACCUCAAAUCAGGUAGGACUACCCGCUGAACUUAAGCAUAUCAAUAAGCGGAGGA